rnacentral:tRNA from 3 species
GCUACGGACUUAAAAUCCGUCGACUUUAAAAAUCGUGAGGGUUCAAGUCCCUCUAUCCCCA